rnacentral:siRNA from 1 species
CCCGCGUAUAUCUCUGCUUGUACC